rnacentral:rRNA from 1 species
GUAGGUGGCAAGCGUUGUCCGGAAUUAUUGGGCGUAAAGCGCGCGCAGGCGGUUCUUUAAGUCUGAUGUGAAAGCCCACGGCUCAACCGUGGAGGGUCAUUGGAAACUGGAAAACUUGAGUACAGAAGAGGAAAGCGGAAUUCCACGUGUAGCGGUGAAAUGCGUAGAGAUGUGGAGGAACACCAGUGGCGAAGGCGGCUUUCUGGUCUGUAACUGACGCUGAGGCGCGAAAGCGUGGGGAGCAAACAGGGAUUAGAUACCCUGGUAGUCCACGCCGUAAACGAUGAGUGCUAAGUGUUAGGGGGUUUCCCGCCCCCUUAGUGCUGCAGCUAACGCAUUAAGCACUCCGCCUGGGGAGUACGGCCGCAAGGCUG